GAAAGAGAGAGAACUGCAAUGCUCGUAUCAAUGUCCAAACUUGGCAGCAUGCAAGCUAACCACUACCAUUUCAAGCCACUUUACUUCAUUGCUUUCAGUUUCCUUUGAUAUUAGAAAUUGCAACAAUAUUGAAACUGAAAUGCAAACGAUAAUAUUGAUAUUAGAAAUUUGUUGUUACAGAGGACGUCUUGUUUAAUAUUUACUAAUAGGAAAAUUUCAAUGUGGGGUAUUCCUUAGUGCCUAACAUGUGCUUGAAUUCCCUGAUAUUUGUUGGAAAUGCUAACUUUUUAUGUUGUUUCAUGCCUGUUAUGUUUAGAAUGUUUGAAUGGGUGGGAUAAGAUAGUUUACUUUGAUUGUUUCCUGAACAGUUUUCCAUCUUACUCAACGUGUGGCAACAAAAUUUCAUACAUUAUUUUCAUUGGUCUUCAACAAGACGUGCGUUGCACCUUUCUGCUGCAUCAACUCCAUUGCUUAGUGGGAUCAAGGUAGUUUCUUACAGCAGGCUUUACCUUCAUUACUAAGGAAUCGUAGAUGUAAUUCUGUGCCUCAAGCAUCAAAGGAUCUUCAAUACAGUUUUCACUAUCUUCCAUGAUUGACAAGCCCAGACGGUGGUGGAGGGCUUUAGCAUGCCUUGCUAAGGAAAGAAUGACCUCACUUUUUUUGAUUUCAUGUGUUGAUGGGCGUGUUACUGGGGAUUCCCUUGCAGGUAUGCCACUUGGACUCUAUCGGGGUAAGUUCAGAAUGCAAUUUUGGGAGACCUAAGCCAUUUGCUUAUCUCUUUACUGUUUUGGAUGUGCACUUGCUGGUAUGUACGCUGACAUUCUACUUGUUUAUGAAAUUCUGAUGCUGCACAUAUCCAUAUUCAGUAUAAUUAAAGGAAAACUGAGAGCUCAAACUUUUCUAUAUUUCCAUCAUGUGUUGUUUCUUUUCCAUGGGAAACUUUCCAAGCAGAUAUGAAUGUUUUAGGUUGAAUAUUGCCUUGGGUCGGCUUUUGUAAUAUAUAGGAAUCUUUUAAGUUUUAUCUGGUGUUGGAUAUCCAUCCAAGCACCUUGUCCCUACUUUCCGUCCCCUUACCCUCCAAGUGGGCCUUCAUUCCCCUCCCUUUCUUUAGUUAAUGAUGAUUAUGUGAACACAGUUUUAAGUUUUGGAUAA